AGCAUCCUACGGGAGGCAGCAGUGGGGAAUAUUGCACAAUGGGCGCAAGCCUGAUGCAGCCAUGCCGCGUGUAUGAAGAAGGCCUUCGGGUUGUAAAGUACUUUCAGCAGUGAGGAAGGUGGGUAUGUUAAUAGCAUACUCAUUUGACGUUAGCUGCAGAAGAAGCACCGGCUAACUCCGUGCCAGCAGCCGCGGUAAUACGGAGGGUGCGAGCGUUAAUCGGAAUUACUGGGCGUAAAGCGCAUGCAGGUGGUUUGUUAAGUCAGAUGUGAAAGCCCGGGGCUCAACCUCGGAAUUGCAUUUGAAACUGGCAAACUAGAGUACUGUAGAGGGGGUAGAAUUUCAGGUGUAGCGGUGAAAUGCGUAGAGAUCUGAAGGAAUACCGGUGGCGAAGGCGGCCCCCUGGACAGAUACUGACACUCAGAUGCGAAAGCGUGGGGAGCAAACAGGAUUAGAUACCCUGGUAG
rnacentral:rRNA from 1 species